rnacentral:rRNA from 1 species
CGCUGGCGGCGUGCCUAACACAUGCAAGUCGAGCGAGGAGAUCCUUCGGGAUGAUCCUAGCGGCGGACGGGUGAGUAACACGUGGGCAACCUGCCUCAUAGAGAGGAAUAGCCUUCCGAAAGGGAGAUUAAUACCUCAUAACAUUGCAGUUUCGCAUGGAACAGCAAUUAAAGGAGUAAUCCGCUAUGAGAUGGGCCCGCGGCGCAUUAGCUAGUUGGUGAGGUAACGGCUCACCAAGGCGACGAUGCGUAGCCGACCUGAGAGGGUGAUCGGCCACAUUGGGACUGAGACACGGCCCAGACUCCUACGGGAGGCAGCAGUGGGGAAUAUUGCACAAUGGGGGAAACCCUGAUGCAGCCAACGCCGCGUGAGUGAUGACGGCCUUCGGGUUGUAAAGCUCUGUCUUCAGGGACGAUAAUGACGGUACCUGAGGAGGAAGCCACGGCUAACUACGUGCCAGCAGCUGC